rfam:Rattus norvegicus chromosome 6, whole genome shotgun sequence.
GGGGAUUUAGCUCAGUGGUAGAGCGCUUGCCUAGCAAGCACAAGGCCCUGGGUUCGGUCCCCAGCUCCA